GAUGAACGCUGGCGGCGUGCCUAAUACAUGCAAGUCGAGCGAACAGACGAGGAGCUUGCUCCUCUGACGUUAGCGGCGGACGGGUGAGUAACACGUGGAUAACCUACCUAUAAGACUGGGAUAACUUCGGGAAACCGGAGCUAAUACCGGAUAAUAUAUUGAACCGCAUGGUUCAAUAGUGAAAGACGGUUUUGCUGUCACUUCUAGAUGGAUCCGCGCCGCAUUAGCUAGUUGGUAAGGUAACGGCUUACCAAGGCAACGAUGCGUAGCCGACCUGAGAGGGUGAUCGGCCACACUGGAACUGAGACACGGUCCAGACUCUUACGGGAGGCAGCAGUAGGGAAUCUUCCGCAAUGGGCGAAAGCCUGACGGAGCAACGCCGCGUGAGUGAUGAAGGUCUUCGGAUCGUAAAACUCUGUUAUUAGGGAAGAACAAAUGUGUAAGUAACUAUGCACGUCUUGACGGUACCUAAUCAGAAAGCCACGGCUAACUACGUG
rnacentral:rRNA from 1 species